AGGAGGUUAGUGCAAUGGCAUAAGCUAGCUUGACUGCGAGCGUGACGGCGCGAGCAGGUGCGAAAGCAGGUCAUAGUGAUCCGGUGGUUCUGAAUGGAAGGGCCAUCGCUCAACGGAUAAAAGGUACUCCGGGGAUAACAGGCUGAUACCGCCCAAGAGUUCAUAUCGACGGCGGUGUUUGGCACCUCGAUGUCGGCUCAUCACAUCCUGGGGCUGA
rnacentral:rRNA from 1 species